rnacentral:tRNA from 1 species
CCCCUGGUAGCUCAAUGGUGGAGCAGGCGCCUGUAGAGCGCAAGGCUGGGAGUUCAAAUCUCCCCCGGGGGA